UCGGGGAAAUGGCAUUCAGGGAAAUGACUAUUCAGGGAUAUGACUAAUCGGGUAAGUGGCAUUCGGGAUUGUGGCCCAUUCGGGAAAAUAGCAUUCGGGGAUGUGGACGAUUAGGGGAAAUGGGAAAUUCGGGUAAAUGGAAUUCGGAGAAAUGACUAUUAGGGGAAGUGUCUUUUCGGGGAAGUGGCAUUCGGUGGUCGGUAAUAUGGGUUUCGGGGAAAUGUCAUAGAUUCGUUCCGUUAUGGCCAAUUCGCUAAAUAUAACGGCGCAAAAGGAGAAUGAUGUUAGCAGUAGUCAGCCGUAGGCGUGCAGAAAUCCGAUCUGUCCGACCUGGACUUUGAAGCUGCGCAAACUUCAUUUUGCACUCACCGGUUCCGAGCGGUUCGCCCGUGCUACAGGACAUCGUUAAUUUUUUAACCCGCCGACUCCGGUGACAUGUCUCGCAAAAGCACCGGAACUGGCCGCAGAAACUGGUGUAGUUGACCAGAAGGAGGAGGAGGAGCAGCAGCUGGAGUUGAUCAAGAAAGUCGUCAAAUCGUCGUAGGCUGGCCAACAACACGGUGGAGGAUGUGAACGAGAACAUGGCCAAAGCCUGGGACGAUGAACCACCCGAAGAUGGCAAGCCUCUGUACAGCGUUCCGGAAGUUCUAACUCCACUCAGAAAACCAGUAUUCUUGCAUCUUCCAGUCAUUGUCCAUCCUGUGGGCAAUACGGUUGGCAUCCUACUGCUGGCCGGUUGUCCCGACACCGGUGAAAUGAAACCCAGUCCGGCCAAGUGAACUGAAAAAGCAACUUUUCCUUGUUCCGACACCGGCAGUCAGGUGGACCAGCACGACUAAAGUUGCAACAGCAGCAGCAGAUCAUCACUGGAUCUUGGGAGAGUGAAGCGGAAAAGGUCGACUAACGGAGAGCGAGCUGGAGUGGUGGAGCAGAAGGCCAGCGAAACUGAGCAGCCUUGCCUUGGGAAGAAUCUGUAGAAGUUGCGGAGGAAGCGAGCUAGCCACUUCACGUGUGCGCAACCUCAUUGGACCACAUGACGACAAAAAGGCCGCUUCCGGAUCGGAUGCUGGCAAAAACGACAGUGGUAGUGUGUCUGCAGACCGUUAAGGUGCACUCGAUUGAGCUCAUGAACAGCAUCCAACUGGCGGCACGAACAACGAUUCCAAAGCCCGGAAGAAUCUCCGGAACCGUGUCCCUCGAAGUUCUUCCCCGAAGAUGUUUCUAAAACUUUGCUCUAGCUGCUAUCCGGAAAUGUUCCGGCCAUGACCUUGUAAGUGACGGCGAAAACAGCGCUGCACGGAACUGGCCCGGUUAUGGCCCUGCAAGUGUCCUCGAAACAACGUUACCCUUAGAACGGCGGGUGGCCUAUUGCUUUUCAAAUUCCGGUUCAUCCGGAAUCCGGAAUUGCCACACGGAACGGCAAUUCCAAGGUUCCCUCGGAAAUUAACAGGCUGCAGGAACUGCAAUACUUGGCGCCGUUGAAGUUGCAGGUUGCCAAUCGAAACGCGCAUGGCAACAAUUGGACGACUCCAAACCUGGAUCCUGACGGAAGCCGCCACCUGACCCGUGCAUGACGCCAAUAUCGUCCGGAACUGGUACGAGGGACGGCCAUGGCAUUGCCAGCAACCUGGAAGUGCCCUUGAAACGACGCUGGACGGAACAGACCCAAGGGUCGCCAACCUGUAAGUUCUCGGAACAACGCUGCACGAAACAGGCUCGCCGAAUGGUCAUCGCCCCGCAAGCGCCCUCGGAAGGACGGAUCAAAAGCUGCACGGACGCGCGUAAUAUAUUCGCGGUUCAAGCAAUCCGGAAUUGCCAUGCGGGACGGCAAUGGAUCUCGAAGUUCCCUUGGAAAGAGGCAGUACAGAACAGGCUCGACAGAAGGUCGCCAAUCUGGAAGUGGCCUUGGAACGACGCUGGAAGGAACAGUCUGAACGGUGUCCGGCCGCGGUAGAUUCAAGCCAUGGUGGAUUAUUUGCCUGUGCCAUCUCAUGUGCCCUCAGAUGCUUCUUCACCGUAAUCGGAUGGUAACUUCCGCCCUUAACCGUGGCAUCGUUCGCCACGAUCACACAAUCCACGGCCUGCGCCCAGACCCACCCCCGUAACAAUGCCUGCCGCGUUGGCCCGUAUAUUUCAUGUGCUGCCAACGAGCUCAGUUCCAAAAACGGCGAACCCGGAUCCACCAACCGAAGCAUCCCUUACUCGUGUGCCGCUUGCUCGCUUCCGGUCCGCCUCCGUUCAGAACCUUCCCGAUAACUGAGGAACCAGAGGCCGGAACUACAAGCACGACUACCUGGAGGAACCAGCCGGUCUGGCCUGGCUGGUAGAAAUUCCGGACCGAGCGGAUGCCCUGAGGGAAAAAAACGAUCGACGUCAAAAUUGUAACAUUCUUUGAAGCUAUUUUUUAAGAAAAUCAAUGUAAACCAAGAAAAACUGAAUAAAAACAUAAACACCAGCAAAAUAUUUCAAUCAAAACAACAAACAAGAUGACAGAUGCGAGAAAAAGAAGAAGAAGAACAUAAAAAACGGGGUUGAGGCGCGUCACCACGACGUCGUUCUUACAUCGGCCCCGCACGUAGGCCUCUUGCGAUGUUCGAACAACCUUGACAGGUUGACGUUUCGGGUCUGAUGCGUGUCUCAAAAUCAGACCCGCAUCGGCCCCUGUAGGACUGAUCGUCGCUCUGACGAUCAGACCCGGUCGGCCCCGUAUUUCUUACUGGGUUUAGGCACAAAAAUAUCGCACACGCAACACAAUUUUGACAAAAUAAUUAAUUUUGCGCUAAAAUGAUGUCUCAAAGCGAAUGCUUUCAUUGAAACCCGGAAAUUUCAAACUUGAUUUUAAACAUUUUUGAUAUACCCCCUAAAGAAAUGACUUGAAAUUGUGAAAAAUUUCCUAAGUCAGGAUGCCACACUUUGGUAUUAUUUUGGUAUUGAAGUGUUUCAUCACUUCUUCCUUUUUUAUAAAUUUUGACGAGAUAAUUAAUGUUGCGCUAAAAUAACCGGCUCCGUGGCUUAAUGGUUACGGCUUCUGCCUCACAAGCAGAAGGUUCAGGAAUCAAAUCCCGGUCGGUACAUUUGAAAUUUGGAAUCAGGAAUUUGAACUUUGAAUAUGAACAAAAACGAAAAAAAAAGAAUCAGGUGGGAUUCGAACUCACACCUUUGGAUUGGUGGUCUGGGACGCUAAGCAGUCGGCCAUCAGAAGGUUUACACUCUAGCAGUGAAAUGAUCCGUAGUGUUGAAACAUGUUAUCUUCUCAUAUUAAAUACGCGCUGGUCCCUGAAUUGCCUGACGGGAUUAGAAGUCUAAAUAUAGAUCGAGUUUCCUUCAGAUGCUUGCUUCUAUGUUUAGGCGGGGCCGAACAAUGCCCAGCGACCUCGGAAUUGGACCGCAAGGAGCUCUGUCAUUCUGAAAUGGGUCGUUGGAAGCAGCGCGAGGGCUAUCACCACCUAAUACCCGGGACUGAGAUAAGUUGUAUCAGCAUUCGGCAUAUACAAAGUCUGAUACAAAUUAUACUUUCCCAUAAUAUCGCUACCGGUUAGCGGGUAUUGGAUUGGACACACACACACACACACACACACACACACACACACACACACACACACACACACACACACACACACACACACACACACACACACACACACACACACACACACACACACACACACACAUAAUUAAUGUUGCGCUAAAAUGACAUGAAACCCAAAAAUGUUAAAGCUGAUUUUCAUUUAUUUUAUGUAUACCCACUAAGAUUUUUUUAAAUCGUUGAAAUUUCUCUUAGUCGGGAUAACCAAAUACUUUGAAAAACGAGUUAAUCGACAGAUAAUUGAAUUUUGGUGAAUUUGAUUGGUGCGCUGGAAGUGGGGACGCGAAGUCGUGAUUAUUCAGGUUAUUUUUUUUGUGUGCUGGUAAUCGAAUAAUAGCAUCAUUGGUGCGCUGGAAGUGGGGACGCGAAGUCGUGAUUAUUCAGGUUAAUUUUUUGUGUGCUUUUGUGUCGCUAUUCGUUUGAGGUGAGUGAUUGUGGUAAUCGAAUAAUAGCAUCAUUGGUGCGCUGGAAGUGGGGACGCGAAGUCGUGAUUAUUCAGGUUAAUUUUUUGUGUGCUUUUUUUGUGUGCUUUUGUGUCGCUAUUCGUUUGGGGUGAGUGAUUGUGGUAAUCGAAUAAUAGCAUCAUUGGUGCGCUGGAAGUGGGGACGCGAAGUCGUGAUUAUUCAGGUUAUUUUUUGGUGUGCUGGUAAUCGAAUAAUAGCAUCAUUGGUGCGCUGAAAGUGGGGACGCGAAGUCGUGAUUAUUCAGGUUAAUUUUUUGUGUGCUUUUGUGUCGCUAUUCGUUUGGGGUGAGUGAUUGUGGUAAUCGAAUAAUAGCAUGCCUUACUGAAUUAUUUGUGUCUUGAGCGUAAUUUUCGUUGAGUAAUUGAUGUUUUUUGUGAUCUUUAUUAAUUGUUUUGUGAUUUUCAAAGCCCUUCCUAUAUCAUCGUUGAUCGGAAGGCACGGCGUCGGGUAAAUUGUGUAUAAUUUUUUCGAUUAAGGUUUUAUUUUUUAUGGUAAAAGCCAUUUCUAUAUAAUGAUCGAAAGACGCACUGACAUUUUGGAAUAAUUAAUAGUGGAGUGAAAUAAUUGUGA